UGGGGAAUAUUGCACAAUGGGCGCAAGCCUGAUGCAGCCAUGCCGCGUGUAUGAAGAAGGCCUUCGGGUUGUAAAGUACUUUCAGCGGGGAGGAAGGGAGUAAAGUUAAUACCUUUGCUCAUUGACGUUACCCGCAGAAGAAGCACCGGCUAACUCCGUGCCAGCAGCCGCGGUAAUACGGAGGGUGCAAGCGUUAAUCGGAAUUACUGGGCGUAAAGCGUACGCAGGCGGUUUGUUAAGUCAGAUGUAAAAUCCCCGGGCUCAACCUGGGAACUGCAUCUGAUACUGGCAAGCUUGAGUCUCGUAGAGGGGGGUAGAAUUCCAGGUGUAGCGGUGAAAUGCGUAGAGAUCUGGAGGAAUACCGGUGGCGAAGGCGGCCCCCUGGACAAAGACUGACGCUCAGGUGCGAAAGCGUGGGGAGCAAACAGG
rnacentral:rRNA from 1 species